UACGUAGGGGGGCUAGCGUUGUCCGGAAUCAUUGGGCGUAAAGCGCGUGUAGGCGGCCCGGUAAGUCCGCUGUGAAAGUCGGGGGCUCAACCCUCGGAUGCCGGUGGAUACUGUCGGGCUAGAGUGCGGAAGAGGCGAGUGGAAUUCCUGGUGUAGCGGUGAAAUGCGCAGAUAUCAGGAGGAACACCAAUUGCGAAGGCAGCUCGCUGGGACGUGACUGACGCUGAGACGCGAAAGCGUGGGGAGCGAACAGG
rnacentral:rRNA from 1 species